AUUGAACGCUGGCGGCAGGCUUAACACAUGCAAGUCGAGCGGAGAUGAGGUGCUUGCACCUUAUCUUGGCGGCCGACGGAUGAGUAGUGCUUAGGAAUCUCCCUAUUAGUAGGGGACAACAAUCCGAAAGCAAUGCUAAUACCGCAUACGUCCUACGGGAGCAAGCAGGGGAUCUUCGGACCUUGGGCUCAUAGAUGAGCCUAGGUCGGAUUAGCUAGUUGGUGGGGUAAAGGCCUACCAAGGCGACGAUCGGGAGCGGGUCUGAGAGGAUGAUCCGCCACACUGGGCCUGAGACACGGCCCAGACUCCUACGGGAGGCAGCAGUGGGGAAUAUUGGACAAUGGGGGGAACCCUGAUCCAGCCAUGCUGCGUGUGUGAAGAAGGCCUUAUGGUUGUAAAGCACUUUAAGCGAGGAGGAGGCUACUGGGACUAAUACUCUUGGAUAGUGGACGUUACUCGCAGAAUAAGCACCGGCUAACUCUGUGCCAGCCGCCGCGGUAAAAC
rnacentral:rRNA from 1 species